GAUGAACGCUGGCGGCGUGCCUAAUACAUGCAAGUCGAGCGAACGGACGAGAAGCUUGCUUCUCUGAUGUUAGCGGCGGACGGGUGAGUAACACGUGGAUAACCUACCUAUAAGACUGGGAUAACUUCGGGAAACCGUAGCUAAGACCGGAUAAUAUUUUGAACCGCAUGGUUCAAAAGUGAAAGACGGUCUUGCUGUCACUUAUAGAUGGAUCCGCGCUGCAUUAGCUAGUUGGUAAGGUAACGGCUUACCAAGGCAACGAUGCAUAGCCGACCUGAGAGGGUGAUCGGCCACACUGGAACUGAGACACGGUCCAGACUCCUACGGGAGGCAGCAGUAGGGAAUCUUCCGCAAUGGGCGAAAGCCUGACGGAGCAACGCCGCGUGAGUGAUGAAGGUCUUCGGAUCGUAAAACUCUGUUAUUAGGGAAGAACAUAUGUGUAAGUAACUGUGCACAUCUUGACGGUACCUAAUCAGAAAGCCACGGCUAACUACGUG
rnacentral:rRNA from 1 species